GGAAUCGAAGUACUGAGUCUUCGUUGGCGGUGUCUCAUUUCAUUAACACGCUAACACGAAGAGUCCCGGAAUUCGUCUUCAUUCAUCUCAACUACUAAACAAAGGGAAAGACAAAGAGAAUCAAGAUGGUUUACACUAACAUCGCCGCCUCGCCGAUAAAGUCAGCCUAUUCGGAUGCCAGGAAGGAGAAGGGCCCGCAAGCGUCGUCCGUCUAUCGCCCGCAAACGCUGCAGCCAACCAAGAACGACAAGUACGGUGCUUGGGGUCCAGUCUACAAGGACAAGAAGAACUUCGUCGACAUGCACAUUUGUUAACAUCGAACAAUCAUCCUCUCUCGCCCACAGCUAAUGGCUCCAGUCGCUUUGAUUUGAAAAACUCCCCGGUGAUCCAGAAACGACUGAAAUAGGGUCGUGACGUAACCUGUAGUCACUUAAAUCAUUUUGUAAUGUGUUAAUAAAACUAUACACCGCCACGAUAAUUA